UACGUAGGGGGCAAGCGUUGUCCGGAUUUAUUGGGCGUAAAGAGCGUGUAGGCGGCCAUGUAGGUCCGUUGUGAAAACUCGAGGCUCAACCUCGAGACGCCGAUGGAAACCAUGUGGCUAGAGUCCGGAAGAGGCGAGUGGAAUUCCCGGUGUAGCGGUGAAAUGCGCAGAUAUCGGGAGGAACACCAAUGGCGAAGGCAGCUCGCUGGGACGUUACUGACGCUGAGACGCGAAAGCGUGGGGAGCAAACAGG
rnacentral:rRNA from 1 species